GAAGUGGGGGGCUGCGGCGGGAGGUGAGGGCCGCCUGCCUGGCCGGACCCCAGGGGUGUCGGACGGUGGGCAGGGCCUCCUGGGAUCCCUGAGGCGCCGGCAGGAGGAGACGCCCUGGGGUCGGUGCCUCCACCUUCCCGUCCGGGCGGUUACAGCUUUCCCGCGUUCGCUGUCAGAGGCAGGGACCGGCGACCUCGGGGGCCUGGUCCCUGAGCCACAGCGGGGAGUCGUCCGAGCAUCUCGGGAUGAGGAAGGCCCAGCUCCCCUGCUGCUGUCAGAGUGUCCUGCUUCCCCCCCUCAGGAAAGCACACCUUUCCUGGUCUCCUCCUCCCUGGAAUCUUGAACUCUGGUGAAGAACAUGGUGAAAUGUUCCAAGUGUAGCAGGGGCGUUACUGAAAGGGAAAAUCGUAACCCAUCAAGUUGAAUCAAAAAAGAGGAAAGAAAGCCCAUCGCGUGUGACAGACAAGAAAGUGCUACCGUUAAAAGGCAAACAGUUCUAGAGUGUGCAAACAUUUGCAGUCCCUCUGCUGAUGAUCCUGGGUUUGGUUUGGCUGGGCUUGAGCAAAUGAAAAGGAACCAGGACGGCGCUCCAGCUUUCUGGGGAUCCUCCUCCAGCAUCGCCAAAGCCUGGGCCGGGCGCAUCCACUUAACUCACGGGGCAGGCUCCCAGUUUUUGAAGGAUCUUCACACCGCCUCCAGCAGCAGCCGCCUUAUAGACACUGCUUAGCCCGGUCCUGCACUUGCUCAGGUCCGGUCUCUGUAACAGAACACACGCGCAUCUCGUGAUGGUGCUUCUCUGAUGGAGCCUUAGCCGAUGCGCAGAAGUAGACAACUGUGUUGGGGCGGAGGAGGUGCCCUGAACUCCAGCUCAGCCCUCCUCCUCCCAAGCCCUUCCAUCCUAGGAUCAACAGGAGCCUGUGACUGACUACAGCAGGAGAGCAGGCGUGGCAUGGAUCCCGUGCAAGCCGGCAGUGGAGACCCAGCGCCUGAGAGUGACGUGGGGAACUAGCAGGAGCUAGAAGUGACUUAGGACGAGCUUUUGUAAAGCGGAGGUGUGAGUAUAUCAGGAUGAUUUGACUGCAAGCAACAGAGAAUCAAACAGAAAUGGCCUAGGGAGUCCCUUCGUGGCUCCCCAGUUAACAAUCUGACUGGAUCAUGAGGAUGCAGGUUCAAUCCCCGGCCUCUAUCAGUGGGCGAAGGAUCUAGUGCUACCAUGAGCUGUGCUGUGGUGUAGGCUGGCGGCCGCAGCUCCAGUUGGACCGCUAGCCCGGGAACUUCCAUAUGCUGUGGGUGCAGCCCUAAAAAGCAAAAACAAACAAAAAAAAUGAAACAAAACAAAACAAAAAAUCCACAAAAAAAAUCAGAAAUGGCCUAAACAAAGAAGAAAACGUGUUAUCCCAUACUACAAGAAGUUUGGGGGUUGAGUGGUUAAACGCAUGAUUAGUUUAGAAACUUGACAGCACCACCCAGGACCCAUUUUCCCUAAGGCGGCUGCUGCCCCCCACCCUGUAGGAUUAGCCACCGCAGCAAAGACACCCCCCUUCCCCAACCAGAGCCCUGCGUCAGGACUGGAAGGGGCCUCCUUCCCUCCAUCCCCUUCCAGAACCUCGGCAGAAGACUCCCCUUGACGUCUCAUUCCAUCCCAUACUGGUCACUUGGCAGGGGGAACGGAUUUACCAUGGUGGCCAGAGACAAAUUAAGUCGCCCCUGGAUCAUGAAGCGCCCCCAUCUCUGGAGAACACUUGACCACUCAUACCCAGCAACUCGGGUACUCCUGGCAAGAAAGAGACAGGUGAUACCCACUGGGUCCUGUCCACAGCGCCUGCCCCCAGCAACCUGUCUACCUGGAAAACUGAGGGGGUGCCACGCGGGUGUGUGUCUUCUCUGUAGUUUGCCCGAGUCUUUCCCAUUAGGUAAGUGUCGCCCUUUUCCCUCUUUGCGGCUUUCCUCCUUGGCACGUCACCCAGGUUUUGUUCAGCCACAAGGGGCGAUAGGCUGAAAGAGGAAUCUCCAGGCCUAGGUGAUGGGCCAGCCGUGGUGAUCCUCACCCGUUUGCCUGGGCACCGUUUGGGAAACGUCCCCCUGCUCACCACGGAGAUGAAAGACCAGGUCCCUGGAGGGGCUUCGCGGAAGGAUUUUUCUCCCCAGUAAAGCGGCAGACAAGCCAGGGGUCCGCCGCCCUACGCGCCGUCUGCCUCUGAGCCGCCGCCAGCUCACAUUCUUGAGCAGAAACGUUGCAGGGAGGCAGAAAGCGCCGAGUCUCAUGGAUCGUGCUGAGCGUUGCAUCCACCCAGGACUGCUUACCUUCAGACUUCUGCUCCGGUGGCAGAGCAGCAAACCCCUAUUGUGUAAGCCUUUGUAGAUGGCUGGUGCCACUUGCUGCUGAAAGUGACAGAUAAUCUUUCUAGGAAUAUAACCCCUAAAGCCCUUUAUGGUAACAGAUGCACUUAGAGAAUGUAGUUUUCUUUCUUUUUCUUACUUAAAAAAAAAAAAAGCUGAAGUCUGCCUCAGGCAAAAAGACAAACUGAAAACAUAUGUAUGCAUAAUUGAAGUGCAAUCAAUAUUCAUUAGAAAAUGAACGAAUGUUCUUCAGGUUACUUUAAUAGUUUUCUCAGGGAAUCUGUUUUUGGAUACGUAUGUCAGCUACAAUAUUUGGCACUUCCAGGAGCUCUGUGUUGAUGUCCUUCCUAGAAGUUGCACUUCUGCGCAUUUUUCUGCGCCUUUGGGGUCUCAGAUGUUCCUGGAAGGAAUCACUUUUCACUCUCCUGGCUUUUCCCUCGAACAGGUAACUUGUAACUUGCUGUUGCCUAUAGAUAUCGAGCAUUUGUCCAAAAAUAUGUUCCUACAAUACCUUCCUGUCUCAGCCAUUCCAUUCACAAGACAGUUUAAACAUUUCUCCAUACUAUUCCACAGAUCAUUCAUAGAGGAACCAUCUGAACCAUGCAACAAAGUCUAGAAACUUUUAUGACUUUUAACUUCCACGACAAGUUAUCAUGUACUUGGUACCCUCAGCCAGGUACAUGUUAAGCUCAGGUUUCAUGUAGGUUAGCGUGGAGCCAUAUUUCCUUGUGGAUAAACCUAUAGAUUUAUCCCCACCCCCGCUUCCCUUCCCAGAAGUAACUGUUGCCUUGACAACAGGGUAAGGACAGCAGUGAUGACGGCUGUGAUAACGAUUAUGAUAAUGAUGGCAGGAGAAACUGUAUGCUGGCCAUUAUCUAAGCACUUUACAUGCAUUAGCUCCUUUAACGCCCAAGGAGGCAUGUGACAGAAAUGCUAUUUUUAUCCCCGUGUUAGAGAUGAGGGCUGAGGAAAGACUGGUGAGGUGCCUUGCCCAAGGCCACACAACUGGUCCCCAGAGAAGCCAGGCUUCCUACCCAGGCAACCCAGGGCUCCCAUACACUGUCGCUGCCUGAUAGGUAGCAGUGGUGGUGGUACAUACUUCCUCUAAGUACAUGCGCAUCCAUAAUAAAGACGCAGUAGACUUAUUU
rnacentral:lncRNA from 1 species